AGCAGCCGCGGUAAUUCCAGCUCCAAUAGCGUAUAUUAAAGUUGUUGCAGUUAAAAAGCUCGUAGUUGAAUUUCGAGAUCAAAUUGUUGGUCGUGCCUUGGUACGCACUGGCAUUAUUGGUUUCUCCCUUCUGACGAACCAUGAUGUCAUUAAUUUGGUGUCUUGGGGAAUCAGGACUGUUACUUUGAAAAAUUAGAGUGUUUAAAGCAGGCUCACGCUCGAAUACAUUAGCAUGGAAUAAUGAAAUAGGACGUUUGAUUCUAUUUUGUUGGUUUCUAGGAUCGACGUAAUGAUUAAUAGGGAUAGUUGGGGGCAUUAGUAUUCAAUUGUCAGAGGUGAAAUUCUUGGAUUUAUUGAAGACUAACUACUGCGAAAGCAUUUGCCAAGGAUGUUUUCAUUAAUCAAGAACGAAAGUUAGGGGAUCGAAGA
rnacentral:rRNA from 1 species